ACCUUCGGGCCUCUUGCCAUCAGAUGUGCCCAGAUGGGAUUAGCUUGUUGGUGAGGUAACGGCUCACCAAGGCGACGAUCCCUAGCUGGUCUGAGAGGAUGACCAGCCACACUGGAACUGAGACACGGUCCAGACUCCUACGGGAGGCAGCAGUGGGGAAUAUUGCACAAUGGGCGCAAGCCUGAUGCAGCCAUGCCGCGUGUAUGAAGAAGGCCUUCGGGUUGUAAAGUACUUUCAGCGGGGAGGAAGGUGUUGUGGUUAAUAACCGCAGCAAUUGACGUUACCCGCAGAAGAAGCACCGGCUAACUCCGUGCCAGCAGCCGCGGUAAUACGGAGGGUGCAAGCGUUAAUCGGAAUUACUGGGCGUAAAGCGCACGCAGGCGGUCUGUCAAGUCGGAUG
rnacentral:rRNA from 4 species